rnacentral:rRNA from 1 species
AGAGUUUGAUCAUGGCUCAGGACGAACGCUGGCGGCGGGCUUAACACAUGCAAGUUGAAGGAGAAGGGGGGACUUCGGUUUUCCUGGAGACUGGCGCACGGGUGAGUAACGCGUAGACAACCUGCCUAUAUCUGGGGGAUAACUCCGCGAAAGCGGGGCUAAUACCGCAUAAUGCAGCGGGGCCGCAUGGCCGCAGUUGUUAAAGCCCCGACAGUAGUCGGGACGGAUAUAGAUGGGUCUGCGUGCUAUUAGCUGGUUGGUAGGGUAACGGCUUACCAAGGCGAUGAUAGCUAGGGGGUCUGAGAGGAUGAUCCCCCACACUGGGACUGAGACACGGCCCAGACUCCUACGGGAGGCAGCAGUGAGGAAUCUUGCGCAAUGGGGGAAACCCUGACGCAGCCACGCCGCGUGCCGGAAGACGGCCCUAUGGGUUGUAAACGGCUUUUGGUCGGGAAGAAUCUGGGGGUUUCGACCUCCACUGACGGUACCGAUUGAAUAAGCACCGGCUAACUCCGUGCCAGCAGCCGCGGUAAUACGGAGGGUGCAAGCGUUGUCCGGAAUCAUUGGGUGUAAAGGGUGCGCAGGCGGGCGCCUAAGUCGGAGGUGAAAUCUUGCCGCUUAACGGUAAAAUGGCCCCCGAUACUGGGUGUCUUGAAUCUGACAGAGGCCGGUGGAAUACGUAGUGUAGCGGUGAAAUGCAUAGAUAUUACGAAGAACACCAGUGGCGAAGGCGGCCGGCUGGGUCAGUAUUGACGCUGAGGCACGAGAGCGUGGGGAGCGAACAGGAUUAGAUACCCUGGUAGUCCACGCUGUAAACGAUGUAUGCUAGUUGUGGGGUUUUCGGACUCUGUGACGCAGUUAACGCAGUAAGCAUACCACCUGGGGAGUACGUUCGCAAGAAUGAAACUCAAAGGAAUUGACGGGGGCCCGCACAAGCGGUGGAGCAUGUGGCUUAAUUCGAUGCAACGCGAAGAACCUUACCCGGGCUAAAUCCACGAUGACCGCCCCCGAAACGGGGCUUCCCUUCGGGGCAUCAUGGAAGGUGCUGCAUGGCUGUCGUCAGCUCGUGCCGUGAGGUGUUGCCUUAAGUGGCGCAACGAGCGCAACCCCUGUGGUUAGUUACCAGUACGUCAAGGUGGGGACUCUAGCCAGACUGCCUACGCAAGUAGUGAGGAAGGUGGGGACGACGUCAAGUCAUCAUGGCCCUUAUGUCCGGGGCUGCACACGUGCUACAAUGGACGGUACAACGGGAAGCCACUGGGCGACCAGGCGCAGAUCCCGAAAGCCGUUCCCAGUUCGGAUUGGAGUCUGCAACUCGACUCCAUGAAGGUGGAAUCGCUAGUAAUCGCGUAUCAGCAACGACGCGGUGAAUACGUUCCCGGGCCUUGUACACACCGCCCGUCAAGCGAUGGAAGUUAGGAGUACCUGACGUCGCCGUGCUAAUCCCUUCGGGGAAGGCAGGUGCCUAGGGUAAGCCUGGUAACUGGCGCUAAGUCGUAACAAGGUA